rnacentral:rRNA from 1 species
CCCUUAGAUGUUCUGGGCCGCACGCGCGCUACACUGUUGAAGCCAGCGAGUAUAUCGCCUUCACCGGAAGGUGCGGGUAAUCUUGUGAAACUUCAUCGUGCUGGGGAUAGACCAUUGCAAUUAUUGGUCUUGAACGAGGAAUUCCUAAUAAGCAUGAGUCAUCAACUCGUGCUGAUUACGUCCCUGCCCUUUGUACACACCGCCCGUCGCUACUACCGAUUGAAUGGUUUAGUGAGAUCUCGGGAUUGGAGACGUUGCGCCGCAAGGCACAUCGUCCUCGAGAACUUGAUCAAACUUGAUCAUUUAGAGGAAGUAAAAGUCGUAACA